AGUAAUGCUUGGGAAUCUAGCUUAUGGAGGGGGAUAACUACGGGAAACUGUAGCUAAUACCGCGUAGAAUCGAGAGAUGAAAGUAUGGGACCUUCGGGCCACAUGCCAUAGGAUGAGCCCAAGUGGGAUUAGGUAGUUGGUGAGGUAAAGGCUCACCAAGCCGACGAUCUCUAGCUGGUCUGAGAGGAUGACCAGCCACACUGGGACUGAGACACGGCCCAG
rnacentral:rRNA from 1 species